rnacentral:misc_RNA from 1 species
UGGUGCAAUUAGUUAUUCUCCUGAAAUAAAUUAGCACGUGUUGAAACUAAUUAGGUUCAGAAACACCAAUUUAUAGUUACAGAUCACCCACAACUUGCAGGCUACAAAUUAUGCAUGGUCCAAAAAUAUCAUCUUAAUUUGUCUCACAAAAAUCAAUCAUGCCAAACGGGACAAGAAAAUUUAAGAUAUAAAAAAGGUACCAAGCAGAAUAGGUAGCAAAGACCUAGUAUCAAGGCAAAUAUGGCAUUGAGGUUGAUCUGGAUUAACUAGACGGCAGGUUUCAUCAGUGUGAACACUUUCUAAAUCAUCACCAUCACAAUCAUGUGCUAUAGAUAUAAUUUCACAUG